GAUGAACGCUGGCGGCGUGCCUAAUACAUGCAAGUCGAGCGAACGGACGAGAAGCUUGCUUCUCUGAUGUUAGCGGCGGACGGGUGAGUAACACGUGGAUAACCUACCUAUAAGACUGGGAUAACUUCGGGAAACCGGAGCUAAUACCGGAUAAUAUUUUGAACCGCAUGGUUCAAAAGUGAAAGACGGUCUUGCUGUCACUUAUAGAUGGAUCCGCGCUGCAUUAGCUAGUUGGUAAGGUAACGGCUUACCAAGGCAACGAUGCAUAGCCGACCUGAGAGGGUGAUCGGCCACACUGGAACUGAGACACGGUCCAGACUCCUACGGGAGGCAGCAGUAGGGAAUCUUCCGCAAUGGGCGAAAGCCUGACGGAGCAACGCCGCGUGAGUGAUGAAGGUCUUCGGAUCGUAAAACUCUGUUAUUAGGGAAGAACAUAUGUGUAAGUAACUGUGCACAUCUUGACGGUACCUAAUCAGAAAGCCACGGCUAACUACGUGCCACCGGCCGCGGUAAUACGUAAGUGGCAAGCGUUAUCCCGAAUUAUUGGGGUGUAAAGCGCGCGUAGGCGGUUUUUUAGUCUGAUGUGAAAGCCCACGGCUCAACCGUGGAGGGUCAUUGGAAACUGGAAAACUUGAGUGCAGAAGAGGAAAGUGGAAUUCCAUGUGUAGCGGUGAAAUGCGCAGAGAUAUGGAGGAACACCAGUGGCGAAGGCGACUUUCUGGUCUGUAACUGACGCUGAUGUGCGAAAGCGUGGGGAUCAAACAGGAUUAGAUACCCUGGUAGUCCACGCCGUAAACGAUGAGUGCUAAGUGUUAGGGGGUUUCCGCCCCUUAGUGCUGCAGCUAACGCAUUAAGCACUCCGCCUGGGGAGUACGACCGCAAGGUUGAAACUCAAAGGAAUUGACGGGGACCCGCACAAGCGGUGGAGCAUGUGGUUUAAUUCGAAGCAACGCGAAGAACCUUACCAAAUCUUGACAUCCUUUGACAACUCUAGAGAUAGAGCUUUCCCCUUCGGGGGACAAAGUGACAGGUGGUGCAUGGUUGUCGUCAGCUCGUGUCGUGAGAUGUUGGGUUAAGUCCCGCAACGAGCGCAACCCUUAAGCUUAGUUGCCAUCAUUAAGUUGGGCACUCUAAGUUGACUGCCGGUGACAAACCGGAGGAAGGUGGGGAUGACGUCAAAUCAUCAUGCCCCUUAUGAUUUGGGCUACACACGUGCUACAAUGGACAAUACAAAGGGCAGCGAAACCGUGAGGUCAAGCAAAUCCCAUAAAGUUGUUCUCAGUUCGGAUUGUAGUCUGCAACUCGACUACAUGAAGCUGGAAUCGCUAGUAAUCGUAGAUCAGCAUGCUACGGUGAAUACGUUCCCGGGUCU
rnacentral:rRNA from 1 species